GCACAAGCGGAGGAACAUGUGGUUUAAUUCGAUGAUACGCGAGGAACCUUACCUGGGCUAGAACGCAAUCGGAAUCAGGCCGAAAGGCCUGCGCCAGCGAUGGCCGGUUGCGAGGUGCUGCAUGGUUGUCGUCAGCUCGUGCCGUGAGGUGUCGGGUUAAGUCCCAUAACGAGCGCAACCCUACCUUUAGUUGCCAUCAGGUAAUGCUGGGGACUCUAAAGGAACUGCCUACGCAAGUAGUGAGGAAGGCGGGGAUGACGUCAAAUCAGCACGGCCCUUACGUCCAGGGCUACACACGUGCUACAAUGGCCGAUACAGAGGGCAGCUACCUGGUGACAGGAUGCAAAUCUCCAAAGUCGGUCUCAGUUCGGAUCGGAAUCUGCAACCCGACUCCGUGAAGUUGGAUUCGCUAGUAAUCGCGCAUCAGCCAUGGCGCGGUGAAUACGUUCCCGGGCCUU
rnacentral:rRNA from 1 species